rnacentral:rRNA from 1 species
UAGGGGAAUCUUCGGCAAUGGACGAAAGUCUGACCGAGCAACGCCGCGUGAGUGAAGAAGGUUUUCGGAUCGUAAAACUCUGUUGGUAGAGAAGAACGUUAGUGAGAGUGGAAAGCUCAUCAAGUGACGGUAACUACCCAGAAAGGGACGGCUAACUACGUGCCAG